UCAGGAUGAACGCUGGCGGCGUGCUUAACACAUGCAAGUUGCGCGGUGAUCUCAAGAAGUUUCGGACGGAAAGGGAGAGCAGCAGCGGACGGGUGAGUAAAGCACAAGGACUUGUCCCGAAGAGGGGGACGAACUGUGGGAAACCACAGCUAAUACCCCAUGAGCCGAGAGGUGAAAGCAGCGAUGCGCUUUAGGAGAGACUUGUGUCCUAUCAGGUAGUUGGUGAGGUAACGGCUCACCAAGCCGAAGACGGGUAGCCGGACUGAGAGGUUGUACGGCCACAUUGGAACUGAGAGACGGUCCAGACUCCUACGGGAGGCAGCAGUGGGGAAUAUUGGGCAAUGGGGGGACCAACCCUGACCCAGCGACGCCGCGUGAGGGAAGACAGCCUUCGGGUUAGUAAACCUCUGUUGCGAGGGGAAGAAGAAAGUGACGGUACCCUGCGAGGAAGCUCCGGCAAACUACGUGCCAGCCGCCGC
rnacentral:rRNA from 1 species